rnacentral:rRNA from 1 species
AUUGAACGCUGGCGGCAGGCCUAACACAUGCAAGUCGAGCGGAUGAAGGGAGCUUGCUCCCUGAUUUAGCGGCGGACGGGUGAGUAAUGCCUAGGAAUCUGCCUGGUAGUGGGGGACAACGUUUCGAAAGGAACGCUAAUACCGCAUACGUCCUACGGGAGAAAGUGGGGGAUCUUCGGACCUCACGCUAUCAGAUGAGCCUAGGUCGGAUUAGCUAGUUGGUGAGGUAAAGGCUCACCAAGGCGACGAUCCGUAACUGGUCUGAGAGGAUGAUAAGUCACACUGGAACGGGGACACGGUCCAGACUCCUACGGGAGGCAGCAGUGGGGAAUAUUGGACAAUGGGCGAAAGCCUGAUCCAGCCAUGCCGCGUGUGUGGAGAAGGUCUUCGGAUUGUAAAGCACUUUAAGUUGGGAGGAAGGGCAGUAAGUUAAUACCUUGCUGUUUUGACGUUACCAACAGAAUAAGCACCGGCUAACUUCGUGCCAGCCGCCGCCGUAAGAC